rnacentral:sRNA from 2 species
UUUUAGCCCUGAUAGUAGCGGCAUCCUUUUUGUUUUUUCUUUAAAAACAAAAAGAUAUAGCGAAUAGCAGGAAAUAGC